rnacentral:rRNA from 1 species
CACGGGGUUGGCGAGCGUUGUCCGGAAUUACUAGGCGUAAAGGGCAGGCAGGCGGAUCUAUAAGUUUAUCGUUUAAGGCGUCGGCUUAACCGGCGUAGGGCGGUAGAUACUGUGGAUCUGGAAUGCGGUUGGGGAAGACAGAAUUCCUGGUGUAGCGGUGGAAUGCGCAGAGAUCAGGAGGAAUACCGAAGGCGAAGGCAGUCUUCCAAGCCGUUAUUGACGCUCAACUGCGAAGGUGUGGGUAUCAAACAGGAUUAGAUACCCUGGUAGUCCCUGA